rnacentral:lncRNA from 1 species
CUAUAACAGUCAAGGGACCUGUGAGAGUCUCUUGGCCAACAGCAAAUGAGAGGUGUGAGCAUCUCAGGAGUCACUUAUGGGACAGAAGCCCGUCAACAAAACGGGACAAGAGGAUCUGCACCCGGCAGGGAGCUCGCAGACGGGACAUGGAACCAAGAGCUGACAGUCGCCUGGAAACUCAACCAUCUCCCGGGGCCGGGGGGUCGGGAAGGGGCGGGUGUCUCUGCGCCUUAGAACACAGACCUGGGGAAAGAGCACUGGCCUUGGAGUCAGACAGACCUGGCCUUGCUCAGCUCCCACUGUGUCACCGGGAGCAACCUACUUCAUGUGUGUCCAAGAUCAGGGAGAAUGUAGAUUGCAUGACACAGAGUCUAAAACAAGACUUAGCUGUUUUUUCUGUCUCAGCCACCUGCCUUUCUGGCACUGUACUUAUCUCAGCUUGUAAUUAUUUUGUGUUUUGACUUCAUUAUUAUUAUUGUUUUUGCUGUUGUUGAUGUCUCUCACCAGACUAUAACAGCUAUGAGAGCACAGACCAUAGGUGUCUUGCUCACAUGUGUCCCCAGGACAUAGCACGUAGUAGGUGCUCAAUAAGAGUAUUUCCAAUUAACAUUUUUAUGUGAUAAAAAUUAGUUUCUUGCCUGACCCCAAUGGUAAGUCACGCAUUCCUGAGCUAGCAAGCAAAGCUGAGUGGUUUUCCUGGGAUAUUCAUUGCUGCAUUUACACCCAAAACUACUGAAGAAGGAACUUGUGGAAACGAGUGAAUUCAGGCCACCCCUGGAAACAUUCUGAUGUUUAUCUAAGGAGCCACUUUGGAAUGAAGCCAUCAAGCAGCUCCCCGCCCCCCCCCCCCCCACCACAGUCACAGAGCAGAGACACCCCCUCCCCCCACCUCUCAGGAGCAAGAGCAGGGCCCUCUGGUCCUGGGGGCAGGCUACCGGGGACCACAGAGCUUCCAGUAAUUGCAGUGCUGUUUCUUCAAGAGGAGAGGGAAAAGCAUUUCAGCAAUAAGCAAAGGAGAGGGAAAAUCAAUAAGGAUGUGUAUAAUGAAUUUUUGUUUCCUGAAAUAGCCUGGCAGGAGCCUUGCCAGGAAGAGUUAGGGCUAAUCAGUGACAAGAUGAGAGAGACAAACCCAAGAACAUUGCUCAGCUCUGCAGGCGCCCUGGUGGAAGAAGUCAGCGUGAGGAAUUACAGACAGGCCAGCCUGUCGUCCAGAAAGACAAUCUCUGAGAGAACCCAGACAGAGAACACCCUGUACCUGGCAGAACCAAUAGAUGUCGGCUCAACAAGGCUGUUGAAAUAAAACAUAGAAAUGAGGCCAAGGCGUUUCUCACUUUCAUCUUCUCCCUUGACCAUCUCAGUGUGUGUGAGUGUGUGUGCGCGCGCACGUGCAUGAUUCACCUGAAACAUGGAGGGGGUUCCCUUCCCGGGAUUUGAAGUGUCUAACAGCUCACUCACAGAUGACAGAGCAAUUAGCCUUGUAUUAGCACAUCUUAAAACCACCCUGAAGUGUUUUUACUUCUUGCCAUAAUUAUUUGCAACACAGUAAAGUGGUUCUGAACCACACUGUCAUCACUUUGUUAAUUCCCGUAACUAUAUGUUUAAAAUCAAUUUUAUUGAGGCACAAUUUACAUAUAAUAAAAUAGACACACUUUAUCA